rnacentral:rRNA from 1 species
AAGUCGUAACAAGGUUUCCGUAGGUGAACCUGCGGAAGGAUCAUUAAAGAGAAAACGGGGUGCCGCCUCCGGGCGGUGCCCCUUCUCCCAAAACCCCCUGUCUACCGACCUCACACAAACCAAAAGUACAAACAAAAAAGUCGUCCUUAGCGGGGCGGACUACCUUUAAAUGUACCAAAAUUAAAACUUUUAACAACGGAUCUCUUGGUUCUGGCAUCGAUGAAGAACGCAGCGGAAAUGGGAUAAGUAAUGUGAAUUGCAGAAUUCAGUGAAUCAUCGAAUCUUUGAACGCACAUUGCGCCCCCUGGUAUUCCGGGGGGCAUGCCUGUUCGAGCGUCACAAAAAAGGCUCAGACCCCAGGUCUGACGUUGGGCGAUUAGGGCCGCUAUAUUUAUAUCCUUUGUGGCUCGAGUGCAACACCUCGAAUGAGAAGGGAUUUCCUAUGCGGCCCCGCCUUAAAUCGAUUGGCAGCGGCGCGUAACCCCGAGCGUACCUAGGCUUUUAGUCUUCGCUUCGCGGGCCAUCGCGACACGUCUAGGCCCCGAAAUGACCCCAUACAUAUGAAAUUGACCUCGGAUCAGGUAGGGAUACCCGCUGAACUUAAGCAUAUCAAUAAGCGGAGGAAAAGAAACCAACAGGGAUUGCCCUAGUAACGGCGAGUGAAGCGGCAACAGCUCAAAUUUGAAAUCUGGGUCCUUUUAGGGCUCCGAGUUGUAAUUUGCAGAGGAUGCUUCGGCGCGUGGCCCGGGCCAAGUUCCUUGGAACAGGACGCCCUAGAGGGUGAGAGCCCCGUACGCACGGGUACCACCGCCGCAAGAAGCUCCUUCGACGAGUCGAGUUGUUUGGGAAUGCAGCUCUAAGCGGGAGGUAAAUUUCUUCUAAAGCUAAAUAUUGGCCAGAGACCGAUAGCGCACAAGUAGAGUGAUCGAAAGAUGAAAAGCACUUUGGAAAGAGAGUUAAAAAGCACGUGAAAUUGUUAAAAGGGAAGCUCUUGCUGUCAGACUUGUCGCGGUCGUUCAGCCGUCCCCCGGGGCGGUGUACUCUUCCGCGGCGGGCCAGCAUCAGCUCUCGCGGCCGGACAAAGGCUUCGGGAAUGUAGCCCCCUUCGGGGGGUGUUAUAGCCCGGGGUGUAAUGCGGCCAGUGGGGGCUGAGGAAAGCGCUUUUGCUAGGAUGCUGGCGUAAUGGCAGCAAGCGACC